CAGAAUUCAUUGUCGGAAGGAAAUAUAAACUGCUUUGGAAGAUCUGGUGUAGCUCCUUCGGAGACAUCUGUCUGGCGAUCAGCAUCACCAACGGUGAAGAAGUGGUAGUGAAGCCAGAAUCUCAGGGCCAGGCAUCCCCAGUUGCUGUACAAGAGCAGGCUUUACAAGAUGCUUCAAGGUGGGGUUGGCAUCCCCCACAUACGGUGGUGUGGUCAGGAAGAAGACUAUAAUGUACUAGUCAUGGAUUUUUCUGGGACCUAGCCUCGAAGACCAAUUUCUGUUCAAGAAGGUUCACAAUGAAAACUGUACUUAUAUUAGCUGACCAGAUGAUCAGUAGAAUUGAACAUGUGCAUACAAAGAAUUUUAUACACAGAGCCAUUAAACCAGGUAACUUCCUAAUGGGUAUUGGGCGUCACUGUAGUAAGUUAUUCCGUAUUGAUUUUGGUUUGGCCAAAACGUACGGAGACAACAGGACAAGGCAACACAUACCAUACAGAGAAGAUAAAAACCUCACUGGCACUGCCCUGUAUGCUAGCCAUGCACAUCUUAGUAUUGAGCAGAGUCGCCGGGAUGACAUGGAAUCGUUAGAAUAUGUUUUGAUGUAUUUUAAUAGAACCAGCCAACCAGCCUGCCAUGGCAAGGGCUAAAGGCUGCAGCAGAGAAACAAAAAUAUGAAAAGAUUAGUGAAAAGAAGAUGUCUACUCCUGUUUUUUGUAAGGGGUUUGCUGCAGAAUUUGCCAUAUACUUAAACCCUUGUCGUGGGCUACACUUAGAGAAAGCCCCAGAUUACAUGUAUCUGACGCAGCUAUUCUGCAUUCUUUUCAGGACCCUGAUCCAUCAAUAUGACUACACAUUUGAUUGGACAAAGUUAAAGCAGAAAGCAGCACAGCAGGCAGCCUCUUCUAGUGGGAGGGGCAGCAGGCCCAAACCCCAACAGGUAAGCAACCUGACAAAACCAAGGGUAACAUGAAAGGUUUCUAA
rnacentral:lncRNA from 1 species